rnacentral:lncRNA from 1 species
AGCUGGCGAGACCUUGGCUCCCCCAGAGUAGCCAACACGGCCCCUGCAUGUCUGCGGGUCUAGAAGCGCCCCCUGCUGUGUGCUCUGCUGGAGGCUCUGAGAAGAGAGGCUCAGUCAGAGCCGGGAAGUGUUCUGCUGCCGACAAAGCGGUUCUGGAAUCCGCAGUGAGUGGCCACUCGAGAGCCAGGACCGAGCCUCGCCGCUAGGGGGAGUUCAGCUCGUAGGACCGGAAGUGCAAUUUAAUUUCUCAAACCUGGAAACCACAGAGGAGCUCAAAGUGUUUAUUGCAAGACUGGUGGAUCAUCCAGUUUCCCCUUUUGCAGAUGAAGAAACUGAGGUCCACCAAGGUUGGAGGACGUGUUGCCCAAUGUCACCCAGGACAUCAGGGCAGAACUGGGACUUGCCCUCAAGCUGAGUGUCCGUCCCAUCCCCGGGCAUCUCUGCCUUCUUGACACAGGAAAACCAAGUUUCUCGGCAGGGGGUGUGCACGAGAUAGUCCAGCCCGAGGCGGGUGCCAUAGAAGCCCUGCCCCCCACCGGCCCUGCUGGAAAGUUUCCAUUUCAGGGUUUGCCUUCUUCAUAGCAGUGUCUCAAACCCCUUAGUCCUUUAGACAAAAUAAUAAUGAUAACAAUCAUAACAAUAACAGUUGCAUAAGCCGAGCUGUGGUGGGGAACAGGAUUUACAAUUCGGAUUGUUUUCAGAAAACACCUCUGUAUUUAGCAAUAAUAUUAUGGAAGUAGCAAUAAAGUUAUCUGCUUCUCAUGAAGGGAAAGUGGGAGGACAACACAACUUUACAGAGUGCGCAAUACAGAACAAAGGGUCUGGGGGCCUCUGUCUGCCCUCAAGUUUUCAUCUACCACGUUCUGGCCGAAGAUAGAACGCCUCUCCUCGGCUUGUUCCCAGACACGUGCCCAGCUGCAUUUUUAGAGAGUGGUUUCGGGGGCGCCAGUGACCUGCAGCUUCCCUGAAGAUGUCAUGCGUCCUGUGGCUGUGCUCCCCCCCCCCCCCCCCCCCGCCCACUCAUGUGUGCUACCUGGUGAUUAGUCUUUGUUUCCUGCCUGGAAGUUGGCUUGAGAAGAAACUUGCUAAGAUAGGAAGGACACUGAGCACAUUAGGUUGGAAACAGCAAGAUGUGCACAGGGAUGGCCCUGCCGGUUUAUGGACAGCCCAUUAUGGCUGCUCCUGCCCUCUGAACCCAGGAAGGCCCAGAGGCCCAGGGCGGGUACACUACGAUGAAGACAGAAAAACAGACCCACAUAGAAAUCUCCAUGUCUUGGUGAAGGUAACUGCCCCAGGGAAUUCUAAGAAGGCCCCAUCCCCACAAGAGCUGGUAGAAAUAUGCCAGGGGUAGCCUCCGGUCAUCUAGGGUCUGCCCCACACACCUGCUUGGUGGGCUUCCUCUCCGCCUCGUCCAGUCCCAAUCCUGAGUCCUUCUCUGCAUCUUCCAGGCUGAACGAUGACAAUCCCAGUGUUGCCCUCUUCCAGACGUCAAGGGCUGCAGCAUAAACCAUCACAAACUUAGAAACCACAACAGCACUGAUCUUUCUCAAGGGCCGGGGUCAGCUCUCCUCUGCUGUACUUGGCAAAAGCUGGAGUGGCUUGAAGCCUGGGGGCUGGAGCCUUCUGAAGGCACCCUCCCUCCCUCACUGUCUGAUGCCCGGGCCAGGAAGACUCAGUCGCAGGAGGAUGGAGCAGCUGGGGCUCCCUGGCAUCUCUCUCCAUCUCUGUUUGCUUUCUCCACACCAUCUCUCCAGCCUGGUGACUUCUGGGUCACCGGAUUUCUUAAUAUGAGCCCAGGGAUGCCAAGGGGCAUGUCCCAGGAAAGCCAGAAAGAGACUGUGUUGUCUUUUAUGACCUAAUCUCAGAAGUCAGGCAGGAUUACUUCUGGCACAUUCUAUUCAUUGAAGAAGGCACAAAGUUCCGCCCAGGUUGAAGGGAGGUGAAAUGGGAAAGGGAAACGCUCUGUAAGAGCGUGUGGGACAAUUUUCGGGCAAUAGAAUCCCCUCCCUUCCCCUUCCUGGGCCCUGCUAAGUGCCAGGCACUGCACUUGUCCUUUUGCUGUUUACACGGUCAAGGCAGAAGGAUUGUCAAUACCUCUGAGAGGUCAGUAUCACCGUAUCCAUCAUACAGAUGAGGAAACUUGGAUUUAGAAGGGAUAAGCAGUGUGUUAAAACAGCUCAAAGAGUCCUGAGCCCAGGCCCAUUUCACCUACAAAUUCUCUCUUCACCCCCUUUGAGUCCUUACUCAACUGCUUGCAAACCUUGUUUCGGGUGCGUCCAGUUUGUUAGGCAGUUUUCCAUCCUUUGAUGCAGGAAGCCAGCAGACACACCUCAGCGGGUCCAAAGGACGUG